UGCAAUGACAAAUUCUCCAAAGUAAAAAAUAUAAUGUUUGAAGGAGAACAAAAAGGAACCGAUUAAAUAUUUAGACAGCAAAGAAAAAAAAAUGUUAGGCAGAUAACUUUUUUCGAAAAUGUAUUUUUUUUAGUUAAAAAAAUAUGAUUAUUUAUGCCUUGGAGAGCUGUGGUGCCAUUUAACAACAAGUACCGGAUUUAAUACAUUCGCUCCACUCGCUGCAGCAACGUGGAGAGGACAAGAGGCUAGAGGGGAGAGAGGCUAGGGAGGGAGCAGAGAGUGGCGGGGGAAGGGGCGCAAGUGACCGCUGCACACACACGCGGAGCCUCAGAGAGGGAGCAGACUGCAGAGCACUGAAUAUAUUGAAGGAAAGCUGAUACCAGGUAGUGCUGAGUAAUGCAGGCCUGGUUUCGACCAGACAGAGAAUGGAUGCUCCUGAGUGAGUACUCCCACAGGGACUAAGCAGAGAGCCUCUGUCCUGGUGCGGUCACACAUCGAGAGAGAGGGGGGUGGAGGUCGGGCUGACAUCCAGUGCAACCCUUCAACCUCCAGGACAGCCAGGGAGAGUUGAGCUCCAUCUGCUCCUGUCCGUGUGUCUGCAGUGUCGGUGCCAGGCUCCACAUGCCACUCAGCAGCAGAACAGAGCCUUAGCCUUACUUCGCCUGCGCCACCCUGUCCUGCCAACACUGCAGAACAGUUAGGCAGUGCCUUUACUGUGAUAAUGGGACUUGGGACGGGGAGUGCGGCAGACUGGCUGGGCAGGACGGUGUCCCAUGCUGCUCUCCUUCUUUAUCAGUGGCUCGUGUAUUACUUUACUCAGUCUGUGGGAUCUCAAGUGAAACUGUUCAAGUUCUUAUCAUAGAGGCAGGUGUCAUGACCAUAGGGGGCACAAGGUCAUGUGCCCCCUCAGAUUUGUCCUGUUUAAAAUUAUCCAGAUAUUUCAGAUGUUCAAUUAAUUACUAAACUUCCUUUUCAAGUGCAGGUUUUAUAAUUAUCAAAAUAUCUAUAAGCUGUAUUGCGGAGGUGCCACACUGACUGAACCAAGCAAAGAGUACACCUCCCCUAUUUUCCCUAGCAAGUGGUUCUUUGUGCAUGUGACAAAUAACACUUGAAACUUCCUUCCAAGGAGCAAAGAUAUGCUAGAUAGUCUAUGUCUAGUGCGUGCAGACAGUAUCGUCAGUGGAGGAGGAGAGAGAGUGUAGAGUGAUACCAGCUCCAUACAAACACACAGCAUUUGAUUUUAGCUGUCGAUGAUGGACAGGAUUCGCAGGAGGUAUAUUUGUAAAUUAAUUGUUUGUAAAUGAAUCAAGCUAUGUAGCCUAUUUAAGCCUUCUUGGUGAAUAAAUACAACCAAUAUGCUUUAUUGUUUCUCUGUAAUACUAGCCACCUAGCAAUUUUCUGAAGUUGGCUUUAGCUAGCCAGCUAGAUAGGUUUCCAAUAUCCCAACCUGAAAACUAGCUACCAAGCCAUUUCAGGCUAUCAAUAAAGUAGCAUGUCUAACUAUCUUAGCAGGCAUGCCUGCUGGUAAGUUUGUUAAGCUUUAAAAAAGCAAGCAAGUACUAAAUGUACUGAAUAAGACUCAUAUUCCUUUCAAUCUUUUACCCAGAUUUUAGCAGAGAAGCAUAUUUAGGGUUACGCUACUAUAUACCAGCGUGGCAGUUAUACUAAACUCCUAAGGCAUAGAAGUUCUCAAAGAAUCAAUGUGCAUCAUUCAUUAAAAUGACAAUGAGGUAAAGAGGUAUGCUUAGAUAGACUAUGCAGAUUUUUUUUUACAUAGAAUUGGGCAUAAUGACCAUCCUCACGUACUUUGUGCCCCUUCUAAAAUAAUGGGUGCAUGACGCCUGAGUACUAGUGUCUCACAAACAGAAUGUCCUGUGGAGAGACAAAAGCCUUACUCUGUGGAAAUCAUUCACCUGUUUACAGGGCUCUAGAGUGCGACCAAUUUGGUCACAUAUCUGACAAAAAAUUUUUUUGCUGUGAGACCAGUACCUUUAUUUUGGGAGCACCGUGUGACAAAAAAAAAAGAAUCCAAUAUGUCAGGUAGCUUAUUGGUUAGAGUGUUGGGCUAGUAACAGAAAGGUUGCUGGUUCGAAUACCGAGCUGUCAAGGUGAAAAAUCUGUCAAUGCUCGUAGAGACCCAUAGACUUCAAGGCAUUGCACAAACACUAGUUAGCAUUGGCUUGCAAAACUACUGUCUAACUUCCUUCAUACUGGACACAGAGAGGUAAAAAUAGUAUCCACAUGUUCAUCUGACUCUGGGUAAAUAUAAACAGUAUCCAUUUAACCCUAAUUUGCUCCAGGGGCACUGUACUACUAUGACUGACUGACUGUGUAAAACAACACAUUUCAUUGCACCUAUCCGGUGUAUGACAAUAACACAUAUUAUUCACUGCUCAAACAAGAUACACUGUUUACAAAUAAUAACCAAUCAUAAAGCUUCAAAUGUUUAAAUAUAGCUACUUAAACCAAUCAAACGCCAGGCACACAGCCAGUCCCUUUUCAUGCAAACAUUCCCUCGGAACUGUGAGCUAAGUAAUGGCAUGAGCUAGCUAGCAAGAACAACAACAAUGAAAUGCGGUGUAACUGAAUCUUUCUUUGACAAAAAACAAAUGAUGAAAAUUAUCAACCACAACCAGAAGAUGAUGACGACACUGUCGGAGAUGCUGCUACAGAUCCAUCUCCUCAGAAAAAGAAAAAGCUCUACCUGUUCC